GGAGUUGUGGCUCAGCGGUAGAGCACUCACCUAGCACAUGUGAGGCCCUGGGUUCCAUCCUCAGCACCACCU
rnacentral:tRNA from 1 species